rnacentral:misc_RNA from 1 species
AAGAGACGUUGCCCUUCGGGGUCGACCUCCCACCCUAUGUUUAUCAUACCUCUGUUGCUUUGGCAGGCCCGUCUUCGGACCACCGGCUCCGGCCGGUCCGUGCCUGCCAGAGGACCUAAAACUCUGUUUGUUAAUGCAGUCUGAGUACUAUAUAAUAGUUA